rnacentral:rRNA from 1 species
GAUGAACGCUGGCGGCGUGCCUAAUACAUGCAAGUCGAGCGAACAGACGAGGAGCUUGCUCCUCUGACGUUAGCGGCGGACGGGUGAGUAACACGUGGAUAACCUACCUAUAAGACUGGGAUAACCUCGGGAAACCGGAGCUAAUACCGGAUAAUAUAUUGAACCGCAUGGUUCAAUAGUGAAAGACGGUUUUGCUGUCACUUAUAGAUGGAUCCGCGCCGCAUUAGCUAGUUGGUAAGGUAACGGCUUACCAAGGCAACGAUGCGUAGCCGACCUGAGAGGGUGAUCGGCCUCACUGGAACUGAGACACGGUCCAGACUCCUACGGGAGGCAGCAGUAGGGAAUCUUCCGCAAUGGGCGAAAGCCUGACGGAGCAACGCCGCGUGAGUGAUGAAGGUCUUCGGAUCGUAAAACUCUGUUAUUAGGGAAGAACAAAUGUGUAAGUAACUAUGCACGUCUUGACGGUACCUAAUCAGAAAGCCACGGCUAACUACGUG